CCUACGGGCGGCUGCAGUGAGGAAUAUUGGUCAAUGGGCGCGAGCCUGAACCAGCCAAGUCGCGUGAGGGAAGACGGUCCUAUGGAUUGUAAACCUCUUUUGUCGGGGAGCAAAAGACGCCACGCGUGGCGUUCCGAGAGUACCCGAAGAAAAAGCAUCGGCUAACUCCGUGCCAGCAGCCGCGGUAAUACGGAGGAUGCGAGCGUUAUCCGGAUUUAUUGGGUUUAAAGGGUGCGCAGGCGGAAGAUCAAGUCAGCGGUAAAAUUGAGAGGCUCAACCUCUUCGAGCCGUUGAACCUGGUGUUCUUGAGUGAGUGAGAGGUAUGCGGAAUGCGUGGAGUAGCGGUGAAAUGCAUAGAUAUCACGCAGAACUCCGAUUGCGAAGGCAGCAUACCGGCGCUCAACUGACGCUCAUGCACGAGAGUGUGGGUAUCGAACAGGAUUAGAUACCCUUGUAGUC
rnacentral:rRNA from 1 species